rnacentral:rRNA from 1 species
AGUGAACGCUGGCGGCGUGCCUAAUACAUGCAAGUCGAACGGAGUGGCGCACGGGUGAGUAAUGUAUAGCUAAUCUGCCCUACACUAGAGGACAACAGUUGGAACCGACUGCUAAUACUCAAUAGUGUAGGUUGAGGCUAGAUUGUAUCAGCUAGUUGGUGAGGUAAUGGCUGACCAAGGCUAUGACGAAUAACUGGUUUGAGCGGAUGAUCAGUCACACUGGAACGGAGGCACGGUCGAGACACCUGCGGGAGUGGGCAGUAGGGAAUAUUGCUCAAUGGGGGUAGCCGUGAAGCAGCAACGCGGCGUGGAGGAUGACACUUUUCGGAGCGUAAACUCCUGUUGUUAGGGAAGCGGUACCUAACGAAUAAGCACCGGCUAACUCCGUGCCAGCAGCCGCGGUAAUAC